AUUGAACGCUGGCGGCAGGCCUAACACAUGCAAGUCGAGCGGAUGAGAGGAGCUUGCUCCUUGAUUCAGCGGCGGACGGGUGAGUAAUACCUAGGAAUCUGCCUGGUAGUGGGGGACAACGUUUCGAAAGGAACGCUAAUACCGCAUACGUCCUACGGGAGAAAGCAGGGGACCUUCGGGCCUUGCGCUAUCAGAUGAGCCUAGGUCGGAUUAGCUAGUUGGUGAGGUAAUGGCUCACCAAGGCGACGAUCCGUAACUGGUCUGAGAGGAUGAUCAGUCACACUGGAACUGAGACACGGUCCAGACUCCUACGGGAGGCAGCAGUGGGGAAUAUUGGACAAUGGGCGAAAGCCUGAUCCAGCCAUGCCGCGUGUGUGAGGAAGGUCUUCGGAUUGUAAAGCACUUUAAGUUGGGAGGAAGGGCAUUAACCUAAUACGUUAGUGUUUUGACGUUACCGACAGAAUAAGCACCGGCUAACUCUGUGCCAGCAGCCGCGGUAAUACAGAGGGUGCAAGCGUUAAUCGGAAUUACUGGGCGUAAAGCGCGCGUAGGUGGUUCGUUAAGUUGGAUGUGAAAUCCCCGGGCUCAACCUGGGAACUGCAUCCAAAACUGGCGAGCUAGAGUAGGGCAGAGGGUGGUGGA
rnacentral:rRNA from 1 species